AGAGUUUGAUCAUGGCUCAGAUUGAACGCUGGCGGUAGGCUUAACACAUGCAAGUCGUGCGAGAAAGUAUCUUCGGAUAUGAGUAGAGCGGCGGACGGGUGAGUAACGCGUAGGAAUCUACCUAGUAGAAGGGGAUAGCCCGGGGAAACUCGGAUUAAUACCGUAUACCUCCUUCGGGAGAAAGAAGGCCUCUCUUUGAAGCUUUCGCUAUUAGAUGAGCCUGCGUAAGAUUAGCUUGUUGGUGAGGUAAAGGCUCACCAAGGCUACGAUCUUUAGCUGGUCUGAGAGGACGAUCAGCCACAUUGGGACUGAGACACGGCCCAGACUCCUACGGGAGGCAGCAGUGGGGAAUAUUGGACAAUGGGCGCAAGCCUGAUCCAGCCAUACCGCGUGUGUGAAGAAGGCCUUCGGGUUGUAAAGCACUUUAAGCAGGGAGAAAAAGUUAUAGGUUAAUACCCUAUGACCUUGAUGUUACCUGCAGAAUAAGCACCGGCUAAUUCCGUGCCAGCAGCCGCGGUAAUACGGAAGGUGCAAGCGUUAAUCGGAAUUACUGGGCGUAAAGCGCGCGUAGGUGGUUUGUUAAGUUGGAUGUGAAAGCCCUGGGCUCAACCUAGGAACUGCAUCCAAAACUAACUCACUAGAGUACGAUAGAGGGAGGUAGAAUUCAUAGUGUAGCGGUGGAUUGCGUAGAUAUUA
rnacentral:rRNA from 1 species